GAAAUAUUCAAAUGCAUUCUGCAGAAGCAUGACUGCUGCUUUGCGCGGGGCUGAGGCACCUGUGAUAUCUGGGAUCUGCAAAACUCACGUCUUGAGAACUGUCAUUAAGCCUGGAAUAUUCUCAGCCAGCCAGCAUGGCGCUCAUAUUGCAUAUUUAUGGCAUGCGAUACAAUGCCAAGAAAAGGAGGAGGAAGGCUGAUUUCCCGCUGUGAUGAGAACUCCUGGGGUCCGCUGGCAGGCCCUUCCUCCGCCCCAUCCGGCAGAGCGAACUGUGCUUGUCGUGUCGUCUUCGCAUUCCCUCGUCCUUCUUCAUCUCACAACUGGAGGUUUGUACUUUGGGUGAAUUUUGAGGGCGUGACUUAUCCUUCCCCCAAAGAUAGCACAGGGUAUGGGUCCCAGAGACUCCCUCAAAGCCCAGGAGCAAACAAGGGUAGUGCCACUUAGGAUGUAGUAACAAGUAGAGAGAAAAAAGAAAAGUCACAAUCAAGUCCAAGGAGGGAGACGGGAGCGAGCCGGGGCCUGGGAGGGGCAGGGACCACACUUGAAACUGCUCCGUGGGCCCCCAGAGCUGGCGUGGGCCCCAGGGCCCCAGGACAGGUGGCUUGAGCGCCUGGAAGGCACAGAGCAGGACCCCAUCCACGUGAGAGACAAUAUCUCCGAUGUGUGGGAGCUGCUGGCAGAAACGGCAUCACAACUACCCCGUGAACACACAGCAUUGUAUUUACAAGCAACACUUUGAAGAAUCAAGUUUACAGAACUCUCCAGUUUGGCUAACACGUCAGUCGACAGACGUGGCUCUGAGUAGCUCCUGCCGUUUCCCCAAGUCAAAAUAUGAUCUUUCUAUAACGAAGUGUGCUGAGCACACUCACAGCUGAUUUCCCGCUGUCGAACCCCAGCCCGUUCAUCUGUAAAAAUACAACAAUGGUACUUAACCACCCUGUCGAUACAGAGAAGCAGAAAACAAAUGGCUGUUCUCCACUAGUGGGUAAAGAAAUUGAGAUUAUACUGCUUUUUACACUAUCUCGUUUGGGGUAGGCACUCUGUAAAUGUUUACUUUUUUUUUUUUUUUUAAUAUGUUGAAGACUCUGGAGGUCUUUCUAAAUUGCAAAUUCUAAAAAUGUCCCAAACAACAUCCGUGUGCCUGGACAGAGGGUGUCCUGUGUGAUCGCGGGGAAACCCUUCCUGCCCGUUCUCUGAACUUCUCGGCAGCCCUGGCUCUGUUCCUCAUAUACAUCGCAUGCCCGGGACCAAGUGCUGUUUCCGAAAGAUCUGCAUCAUGUGAACUAAAAUGAUUAAAGUAAACUACAUUUAAAAAGAUACAAUCAUAAAAUUGUAUAGUUGACACAAACUACUAAAAAUUUGAAAAAUGGAACAAAUCAUACACAGGCUUUUGCUUUAACUUUUUUGCCUUAAGCAUCAUUUGUCUCCACCGUGAAGGUGAAUACUGGCUAAUAUUUUUGGUUGAUGAACAGAAUAAGAGGUAAAAAGGCACAGGACUCACAUCUAUAUUUAUACAUCUAUAAUGAGUAUGAGAAAUAAAUAGGCUACAUUUUUAAGGUUGAACUGAGGCAUAUGUUACAUAAAGUUAAAAUUUCUUUAAAAAAAAGACAAGCCUUUCCCUGUAAUGCCUUAGGAGAUUAAAAAACUUAACACACGAUAUUACAGCAUUUCAAUAAAUGCAAAACAUACCAUAUGUAACUUUUAUUUUUCAAGUGUAAAGAGGUAAUUUAGGAAUUGUUUUUAUAACUACUUAACGCCUCCCUCUGCUUACCCCUGGGUAAGCUUUAUUGAUCACACAUCACCAUAAGGUUCUCAUAUUGAGGAGUUUAGCUUGACAGCAAAGCCCCUUGCGUCCCCCCAUCUGUAAUUUAUCGCCUUUACGUGGCCGCCUUCCCACGGAAGCCACAUGGACCCCUUCGACCUGCUCGCCUGUGGCUCUGCCCCGGGAACAAUGUGCUUCUGAUAGCUUCGUCUCCUUCUUCGAGACUUUCCAGGUUAUAUUCUAUUAAGAUUUUACUCUUAUAAUAUUUUUA
rnacentral:lncRNA from 1 species